rnacentral:siRNA from 1 species
UUAUGAGAGUUGGUGUCUUGUACA